UACGUAGGGGGCAAGCGUUGUCCGGAUUUAUUGGGCGUAAAGAGCGUGUAGGCGGCCUGACAGGUCUGCUGUGAAAACUCGAGGCUCAACCUCGAGACGUCGGCGGAAACCAUCUGGCUAGAGUCCGGAAGAGGAGAGUGGAAUUCCUGGUGUAGCGGUGAAAUGCGCAGAUAUCAGGAAGAACACCCGUGGCGAAGGCGGCUCUCUGGGACGGUACUGACGCUAGACGCGAAAAGCGUGGGGAGCGAACAGG
rnacentral:rRNA from 1 species